CACUGGAUCCCUCGGACCAGAGAAGAGGGGUAACUCGAGAGCAACCAAGAGUUUGCCAUCUCCAACCAGAAGUCGGUUCCUCGAAGAACAGAAAUAAUUCCCACUGGGAACGGCUGACGGAGUGAUCUGCUUUGGCUCUGGCAGGUCACUGGGAGGCAGGCCCUCCAAAGAUUCCUUUCCAAGGGGACACGGAUGCCCACCGCUCUGGGCCAGCCACUGGACAAUGCUAUGCCAUAUGCAGUGCCUUAGGGUGUGCAGCCCCUCCCAGACGAGUCCUCAGUGAAUGGCGAUGGGUUGUGCUGUGUCCUUGAAGUCUCACCUUAGAGACCUUUAUCAGCCCACUCAUUAUGAAGCAGUAACUCCUGGGGUGGGAGGACCCAACUCAGAGACUGCAGCCCAGACUGGUGGGUGGGUUGAGGGGGAGGGAGCCAGGCUCAUCAUCUGAACCAUCCCAGUGAUGCACACAGUUCUACUUACAGCAGCUUUACCCACGCCGCCUGUGGGAGCUCUCUUCAAGGGAGAAAUUGUUGCAAGAUCUCAAGGUGCUUUAAAAUAUUGUUGCAGUGUUGUUGCAGUUUUUAAAAAUCGCCAUGAACAUUUUGAAACUGGUGACUGCUUCAAUCCACGGAGCCCAAUGAAAGGGAGGUGGUGUGACUUCCCUGAGCUUCCAUGUAAAACGUCCUACCACCCUGACCUGGAAGCCAACGCGUGAGUGUAGAAGGGGCUUAGCAGCCAUGAGGCCAAAGCAUCAGUGGUGCAGAAACAAACCAUCUCUUCCCAGCCCUUUUGAAAUUCCUGAUCCAUGGAAUCAAGUGUUGUUGCUGUAAGCUAUUACAUUCAGGGUUGUUAUGGAGCAAAGUGUGUUAGUUGCUCAGUUGUGUCAGACUCUUUUCGACCCCAUGGUCUGUCCAUGAAUUCUCCAGGCAAAAAUACUAGAGUGAGUUGUCAUUCCCUUCUCCAGAGGAUCUUCCCAACCCAGGGAUCAAACGUGAUUCUCCUGCAUUGCAGGCAGAUUCUUUACCAUCUGAGCCACCAGGGAAACUAAAAUAAGUUAGCUGAAAUAAACACAGUCCCUGUAAACCAAGAAAUGUCUGACCUAAUGCUCAUUCAAGGAAAAGGUUUUUGUUGUUCUUGUUGUUGUAAAUUUUAUAAAAAUUUGAUCCUGUA
ensembl:lncRNA